UACGGAGGGUGCGAGCGUUGUCCGGAAUCAUUGGGCGUAAAGCGCGUGUAGGCGGCUUGGUAAGUCCGUUCUGAAAGCCCGGGGCUCAACCCCGGGAGGCGGAUGGAUACUGUCAAGCUUGAGUCCGGAAGAGGCGAGUGGAAUUCCCGGUGUAGCGGUGAAAUGCGCAGAUAUCGGGAGGAACACCAAUGGCGAAGGCAGCUCGCUGGGACGUGACUGACGCUGAGACGCGAAAGCGUGGGGAGCAAACAGG
rnacentral:rRNA from 1 species